AGCCAUGCGAGUCGAGAGUCUUAGGGACUCGGCGUACUGCUCAGUAACACGUGGAUAAUCUGACCUACGCUCGAGGAUAAUCUCGGGAAACUGAGUUCAAUACUCGAUAGAUCACAUGUCCUGGAAUGGCUUGUGGUUGAAAGGUCACGGCGUAGGAUGAGUCUGCGGCGUAUCAGGUCGUAGUGGGUGUAAUGGACCCACUAGCCCUCGACGCGUACGGGUUGUGAGAGCAAUUGCCCGGAGAUGGAUUCUGAGACACGAAUCCAGACCCUACGGGGUGCAGCAGGCGCGAAAACUUCACACUGCAGGAAACUGUGAUGAGGGAACUCCAAGUGGCAGCACUAAGUGCUGUCUUUUCUGGACUCUUAAAAGGUCCAGGAAGAAGGGCUGGGUAAGACCGGUGCCAGCCGCCGCGGUAAUACCGGCAGCUCAAGUGGUCGCCGCUUUUAUUGGGCCUAAAACGUCCGUAGCCGGCUUGGUAAACCCGUGGGUAAAUCAACCAGCUCAACUGGUUGAAUUCCGCGGAGACUGCCUGGCUUGGGACCGGGAGAGGCGUGAGGUACUCUCGGGGUAGGGGUAAAAUCCUGUCAUCCCGAGAGGACCACCUGUGGCGAAGGCGUCACGCUAGAACGGAUCCGACGGUCAGGGACGAAGCCUAGGGGCACGAACCGGAUUAGAUACCCGGGUAGUCCUAGGUGUAAACGCUGUGGACUUGGUGUUGGAAACCCCACGAGGGUCUUCAGUGCCGUAGCGAAGGUGAUUAGUCCACUGCCUGGGGAGUACGGUCGCAAGGCUGAAACUUAAAGGAAUUGGCGGGGGAGCACUGCAACGGGAGGAGCGUGCGGUUUAAUUGGAUUCAACGCCGGAAAACUCACCAGUGCCGACGGUUGUAUGAAGGCCAGUUUAACGAGCUUGCCGGAUUUUCCGAGAGGUGGUGCAUGGCCGUCGUCAGUUCGUACCGUAAGGCGUUCUGUUAAGUCAGAUAACGAACGAGACCCUCAUCCAUAUUUGCCACCCUGGUCUCCGGAUCAGGAGCACUAUAUGGAGACCGCUGGCGUGAAGUCAGAGGAAGGCGAGGGCAACGGUAGGUCAGUAUGCCCCGAAUGCACUGGGCUACACGCGCGCUACAAAGGGCAGGACAAUGGGCAGCCACGUCGCAAGACGGCGCUAUCCUGAAACCUGCUCGUAGUUCGGAUUGAGGGCUGUAACUCGCCCUCAUGAAGCUGGAUUCCGU
rnacentral:rRNA from 1 species